CUGGACGUGUAGAGCUCGAUCACCGAGCCUAGAUUCAAUUUGAAGAAACAGCUAUGAGUGUUGCAUCAAAGACCACCAAGUCUUGUGAACGGCGAUUUUGCGUUUGAUUGAGCUGAUAGACGAUGGCUGCAGUGUUGAGUCUUGAUGUUGUCCGUGAUGCUGAUCUUCAAUAGCGGGUCUGGUGAGCCAACAUACUGUAAGGUUGGUGCC